rnacentral:rRNA from 1 species
CGGCAGCACGGAGCUUGCUCUGGUGGCGAGUGGCGAACGGGUGAGUAAUAUAUCGGAACGUACCCUGGAGUGGGGGAUAACGUAGCGAAAGUUACGCUAAUACCGCAUACGAUCUAAGGAUGAAAGUGGGGGAUCGCAAGACCUCAUGCUCGUGGAGCGGCCGAUAUCUGAUUAGCUAGUUGGUAGGGUAAAAGCCUACCAAGGCAUCGAUCAGUAGCUGGUCUGAGAGGACGACCAGCCACACUGGAACUGAGACACGGUCCAGACUCCUACGGGAGGCAGCAGUGGGGAAUUUUGGACAAUGGGCGAAAGCCUGAUCCAGCAAUGCCGCGUGAGUGAAGAAGGCCUUCGGGUUGUAAAGCUCUUUUGUCAGGGAAGAAACGGUGAGAGCUAAUAUCUCUUGCUAAUGACGGUACCUGAAGAAUAAGCACCGGCUAACUACGUGCCAGCAGCCGCGGUAAUACGUAGGGUGCAAGCGUUAAUCGGAAUUACUGGGCGUAAAGCGUGCGCAGGCGGUUUUGUAAGUCUGAUGUGAAAUCCCCGGGCUCAACCUGGGAAUUGCAUUGGAGACUGCAAGGCUAGAAUCUGGCAGAGGGGGGUAGAAUUCCACGUGUAGCAGUGAAAUGCGUAGAUAUGUGGAGGAACACCGAUGGCGAAGGCAGCCCCCUGGGUCAAGAUUGACGCUCAUGCACGAAAGCGUGGGGAGCAAACAGGAUUAGAUACCCUGGUAGUCCACGCCCUAAACGAUGUCUACUAGUUGUCGGGUCUUAAUUGACUU